ACCGUGUACGUACAAGCAGUGGGAGCACCUUCGGGUGUGACUGCGUACCUUUUGUAUAAUGGGUCAGCGACUUAUAUUCUGUAGCAAGGUUAACCGUAUAGGGGAGCCGAAGGGAAACCGAGUCUUAACUGGGCGUUAAGUUGCAGGGUAUAGACCCGAAACCCGGUGAUCUAGCCAUGGGCAGGUUGAAGGUUGGGUAACACUAACUGGAGGACCGAACCGACUAAUGUUGAAAAAUUAGCGGAUGACCUGUGGCUGGGGGUGAAAGGCCAAUCAAACCGGGAGAUAGCUGGUUCUCCCCGAAAGCUAUUUAGGUAGCGCCUCGUGAACUCAUCUUCGGGGGUAGAGCACUGUUUCGGCUAGGGGGCCAUCCCGGCUUACCAACCCGAUGCAAACUACGAAUACCGAAGAAUGUUAUCACGGGAGACACACGGCGGGUGCUAACGUCCGUCGUGAAGAGGGAAACAACCCAGACCGCCAGCUAAGGUCCCAAAGUCAUGGUUAAGUGGGAAACGAUGUGGGAAGGCACAGACAGCCAGGAUGUUGGCUUAGAAGCAGCCAUCAUUUAAAGAAAGCGUAAUAGCUCACUGGUCGAGUCGGCCUGCGCGGAAGAUGUAACGGGGCUAAACCAUGCACCGAAGCUGCGGCAGCGACACUAUGUGUUGUUGGGUAGGGGAGCGUUCUGUAAGCCGUUGAAGGUGUGCUGUGAGGCAUGCUGGAGGUAUCAGAAGUGCGAAUGCUGACAUAAGUAACGAUAAAGCGGGUGAAAAGCCCGCUCGCCGGAAGACCAAGGGUUCCUGUCCAACGUUAAUCGGGGCAGGGUGAGUCGACCCCUAAGGCGAGGCCGAAAGGCGUAGUCGAUGGGAAACAGGUUAAUAUUCCUGUACUUGGUGUUACUGCGAAGGGGGGACGGAGAAGGCUAUGUCAGCCGGGCGACGGUUGUCCCGGUUUAAGCAUGUAGGCGGAGGU
rnacentral:rRNA from 1 species